CUUAGAGGGACAAGUGGCGUUCAGCCACCCGAGAUGAGCAAUAACAGG
rnacentral:rRNA from 1 species